ACUCCUACGGGAGGCAGCAGUGGGGAAUAUUGCACAAUGGGCGCAAGCCUGAUGCAGCCAUGCCGCGUGUGUGAAGAAGGCCUUCGGGUUGUAAAGCACUUUCAGUCGUGAGGAAGGUAGUGUAGUUAAUAGCUGCAUUAUUUGACGUUAGCGACAGAAGAAGCACCGGCUAACUCCGUGCCAGCAGCCGCGGUAAUACGGAGGGUGCGAGCGUUAAUCGGAAUUACUGGGCGUAAAGCGCAUGCAGGUGGUUUGUUAAGUCAGAUGUGAAAGCCCGGGGCUCAACCUCGGAAUAGCAUUUGAAACUGGCAGACUAGAGUACUGUAGAGGGGGGUAGAAUUUCAGGUGUAGCGGUGAAAUGCGUAGAGAUCUGAAGGAAUACCGGUGGCGAAGGCGGCCCCCUGGACAGAUACUGACACUCAGAUGCGAAAGGCUGGGGAGCAAACAGGAUUAGAUACCCUGGUAGAUAGCG
rnacentral:rRNA from 1 species